AUUCGUGGUGCGACGAAGCUUCUCAUGUCGUCAGAUACAUCGGCUGAUCAAGAUGAAGUUACCUGUAACUUACUCAAAGAAAAACACCCAGGCCCAUCAAUAGAUUUAGAUCUACCUGAACCACCCGACGCUACAUUCAUUCCAUUAAUAACAACGGAAGAAGAUGUUCGAAAAUCAAUUAAUAGUUUCUAUAACGGUUCGUCAGCAGGUUGCGAUUUGAUUUCUCCUCAGCAUUUGAAAGAUUUGAUUGCCAUUUCAAAUGGAGAUUCUGGCACCAGACUUCUUAAGUCAAUAACGUCAUUAUCAAAUUUCAAUCUACGACGAAAAGUGCAAG